rnacentral:RNase_P_RNA from 2 species
GGAGUUGACUGGAUAGUCGCUGCUUCGUUGAUGUCCUUUUGGUAGCAAUAUCAGGGAGACUGUCGGAGGGGAGGAAAGUCCGGGCUUCAUAGAGCAGGGUGCCAGGUAACGCCUGGGGAGCGUGAGCUUACGACAAGUGCAGCAGAGAGAAAACCGCCGAUGGCUUAAUUCCGAUCCUUUCGGGGAAAAGAUAAGCACAGGUAAGGGUGAAAGGGUGCGGUAAGAGCGCACCGUGCGUCUGGCAACAGUUCGUAGCAAGGUAAACUCCACCCGAAGCAAGACCAAAUAGGCCCUCACAUUGCGUUGCUCGCGUAUGGGGGCGGGUAGGUUGCUCGAGCCAGUGAGCGAUUGCUGGCCUAGACGAAUGGCUAUCACCGCUUUUUCUUUCUAGGAAGAGAGGCGGAACAGAACCCGGCUUAUGAUGUCAACUCCACCA